GACCUGGGAUGGAAAAGGAUAGUACUGCUCAGCCUAUGGGCCUGUAAUGAGAAGAGAGUGGACCCAGAACCAACUUCUAGACCUGCCAAACAAGUAAGAGCAAACUUAUGUCAUGUGGGGCCAUAGAUGCUGGACAGAGGGUAGCACCCACUCCCUGUCAGCUAUACCAUAAUUAAGAUGGUAUCAAAAUGCCUUUCCUGAAUCCCUAAGAUAGGAUUUUCCAACAAUGUCGGGGUCACCCUCUGGGCACUACUUGUUAACUCUCUGGUUCAGAUCCUGUAUCUCUAAUCAGUGUCUUUAGUCAGUGGCAUCUUUUUCCAGUCCUUCUUUGUGUUCCUCUGUUCACUGUGGGUGCCACUACUAGAGACAUACUUUAUCAGAAUGUCAGAUUUCCAAACAGCCUUAUCUUGGCAUUUUCACAUCAAAGUGUUGAUCUGUCUUUUUAUCCUUUUGGAAAACCCUUGUAAUACCAGGAUGAAGCAGGAUGGACUGGACGGGAUUGCGAAAAACAAACUCCAAGGAUCCAGAUUGUGGCAGUGCUGCUAUUUUUCAGAGCCAGCGCAUGUCCUUUGGGGAUUACCUGGCAGCUCUUUGGAAACCAGUCUCUUUAAUCCUGCUGUGAUGCCAAGAGGUAGCCCGGCAAUUCAGACCUUGCUUUGCUCGGAGCCGCUUUCUUUUCUGGCCAGCACUGAUGCCUUACAUCGAAGCUGAUGUGACUCAGCACCAAGUUUGGGCACCAAGACGGUGUUUGUUAACUGGCAGCGCCAAAGAAGUCUCCUUUCCUUCCUCUAUAUAAAGAGACUUUGUUUCUGCGCAGUGGUUACUUUGUUGAAAAUUAAGAGUUUUGACAGUUGGGGUGGGGGAAGAGAGUGCUAAAUGCAUGAACUUUACCAAGGUGUGUUUAAGAACACUUCGAACCUUUAGUUUCAUAAAUACCUCUGCUUCCUCUGUUGCUUUAUUAGCAUGGGUUUUAUCCAGAAGGUGGCAUCACAGAACCUAAAUUUCACUCACCAAAGGGUAAGAGAAAUUUACAUCUCUUUGUGAUUAGAAAUUAAGGAUGUAACCUUUAGAUAGCAUGUUGACAUUUCAGAGACUUUUUAUUCAUUCCUGUAAUUGGUUAAAUUACUUUAAAGCUGUGGAAGAUGAGGUCAUGAUGGUUUUCUACCCAGUGGAAACCCGAGGCCUGAGGUAUUUAGAAAAACCCAAACCCAUGUUCCUUCACCAAGUGAUGUGAGCAAGACUGGUUUAUUUACUAAUCAGAAACAGUUGUGAAACUGAACAGUUACUGUGAUGCCUUCUUCCCCUUCCACAUGCACUUGUGCCCACUGCCCAUCAAGGUACUCUUGGGUGCCUUCAUUGGAAGGAGGGAUCGGGAAGGCCUAAAUGGAUGGUUUAAUGGGUAAAUCUGCUGAGUAUUGGCACUUAAAAAUAAGUCGCAAGGUUGAGGACUCUCAAACGGUGAUCCUCUAAUGGGUGACCUUCUCACAAUCAGGACUCUCAGGAAAACAGAAGAUGAUCCUCCUCGGAAUCUGAGCUAGGAUCUGGUUUGCUGCUUCUUUCCCAGGCGUUCAGUGCUAGGCCAGGCAUGUCACUUAGCCUCAUGAGGCAUGUACUCAGUGAAUGUCUGCUCACUGGUAGGAAUAUGAAUGCUUUAUAAAUUCUUGGUUUAAAGUAUUCCUUUGGGUAUAUACCCCAGGCGAGAUUGCUAGAUCAGAUGGUAGGUCUAUUUUUAGUUUUGGGGAGGGACCUUCAUACUGUUUUUGACAGUGGCUGUACCAGUUUCCAUGGGAGAAUACAUCCUGAACUAAAUGAGUUUCAUGACUGCUUUUCCGGCCGCCUUUGAUUGUCUGUUCUUUUCAGGAGAAGAGCUAUAGAAAUUAGGGGCUGAGACCGGGAAGAGCUUCCCUGAUCAGGAAAGAUGCAACGACCGGGCCUUCCCUGGGCUGCCUAAAGCCCANGGGGGCUGGGGCUGGGGCUGGGGCUGGGGCUGGGAAGGGUAGCCCUCUGGAGCAAGGCUGUCAGAGCAGGGGGAGAAAGCAGACUGCUGGAGGGCCUGGGCCCUCCGUGUGAAAGGGGUCUUGGACUGUGUGACUGCAGGCCAGGCCCCUGCCCGCUUCCCAACCCCUAGUCCUGCCUGGGGUGGGCGGAGCACGGGGCCCAUCAUCGGGGGUGACCUGAGAAUCGGUGGCCUUCUGGGAAAGGGGAGGCUGUUACCAUGGAGGCGUUUCCCCAUCUUCCAGGAGUCCCAGGCAUUUGGGGCUUUGCUGCUGGGGAAGGUCUUGGUGUUUCUGCCUCGUGCUGUGUGGUGCCUUGGCCUGUGACAAGUGGCUCAGGAAAGGGGGCUCUUCACCCACCGGUCUUGUGGCCUAGACCAGGACUCUGGGGCCGUCUCAUGGGAGGCCCAUGCUGACGUUGGUUCUUUCUUGUGAAUAGUCAGGCCUGGUUGCGUGGACGGCUCCACUCUGUGAGCCGAAUUGCACAGAGAGCCUGGCGAAGGUGCGUCGCUGUGCGGGGGUGCUCUUCUGGGUCCCUGUCCAGACGCCCCUUUCCACUCCGUGGCUCAGAUACCCUGCCAGGGGCCUGCAGGAGGCACAUAGGGGCGAUGGAGCAUCUGGGCUGUGGGAGAUGUUGGGUCUAGGGCAGAAGCAGAGCGUGGCCUGUGAUCAGGACUCCUUGGUGACAGGAAGGAGCUGAGCAGAAGAGUGUCCACUGUGCAUAGCAGUGGCUGGAGGGGAUCCUGAGGAACCACACCUGCGCGUGUGGGGAUGUGGCUGGAGCUUCAUCAGAGCAUUUCCAUGUCGCGCUCCGCCCUCUCCUGCUGACUCCUCUGCAUGUUAGUUGGAAGCAAGAGGUCACAUGGGUGCUGUCCGUGUGCAGGAGCUGAAGUGGGGACGUGUGGGAAGCCCCCCUGUUCUGCUUGCCGAAGAGGGCCUAUGCCCCCCGGCUGUCGCUGUUCCUUCUGUGUGUAUCUGCUGGGAGGCCUUGAUGCCUGCUGGUCUAGCCCCUGGGCCGUUUUGGUCUUGCUGUCGGGGGAGAUGAGGUUGCAUCAAGGGGCCUUUGUCUGCCCUCCCAAGACAGUGGGGGGUUUGUGUGGCAUGUGUGGGACUGUGUGUGGUCCUGCGCCCUUGGGGGUGGCGGGAGGAUCCAGGAGAUGAGUCUGGGGCAGGGAGGCUGCUCUGGUUUUCUUAUCUCAAGCUUCUGAUUAGCUUCGAUUCCUGAAACACGGAGCCACAGCCUAGGGAGAAAUAAAGUGGUAAUGAGAAUAUAAGGGGGGGCUGCCGGUGGGCAGGACCCAAGGCUUUGGGUGUGCAAGGUGAGGGGGCAUUGUGGCUUCAGGGCUGUUUCUCCUGUCCCCUUUCUUUCUUUCUUUUUUUUUUUUGUCUUUUGUCUUUUUGUUGUUGUUGUUGUUUUUGCUAUUUCUUGGGCCGCUCCCGCGGCAUAUGGAGGUUCCCAGGCUAGGGGUUGAAUUGGAGCUGUAGCCACCGGCCUACGCCAGAGCCACAGCAACGCGUGAUCCCAGCCGCGUCUGCAACCUACACCACAGCUCACGGCAACGCCGGAUCGUCAACCCACUGAGCAAGGGCAGGGACCGAACCCGCAACCUCAUGGUUCCUAGUCGGAUUCGUUAACCACUGUGCCACGACGGGAACUCCUCCUGUCCCCUUUCUUCAUUCUCCCACACACCUUUGGGUCAGUAUAUUUGGGGGACAGAAGAUAACCAUGGGCACUGAUGAAUAUGCUAUGAAAAAAUGUGGCUCUCUUGUAAAUUUGAGACAUUUCUUACGGAACAGGGUUAUUCUCCAUUUUCCAAGUGAAUCGUGCUCUGUCUGCAGAGGAUGACUUUGCUGUCUCAUCCUUAUUCUGUAUUGCCGCAGGCCUGUGAAGGAUGGCCACUGUGACAGGGGAGCCCUUCAUCCUGCUAGACUUUUGCACAGUCUAUAAUCUGAGGGAGUUCUGAGAAGGAACUGCUGUUGCUUAUGCUGUUUUUCUCCGGACAUAUUUCCCUCCCUUUUCCUGUAGCUUUAUGGACUCUUAGGCGCUGCUUUAUGGUGUCCAUUUCCUCCUGUUCUUUGCGAGGGUCUAGGUGAGUUUCUGAUUUCAGCUCCUCAAGUUGUUCCCCCUUUACCUAGUUCUCACUUAUUGCCAGGAGUUUGGGUGCCUGGUCCUUAAAGGGACAUUCUGGGUUGUCACAUUACCAAAAAGCUUACUUAGCUUCAAGAAAAAGAUUUGCAUACAUUGCAAAGAGGCAGAGAAAGAGCUGAUAAGUUUUCCAAGGUGAAUGUUUUAAGGGAAAAGAGAGGCCGUUUCCCUUUUUUCAACAGGGAUUCUUUAACUUUUCUUAUUUUUUUGCCCUUACAACAUGCUCCCAUGAGACACCUGGUCUCCUGGGUAUUGGCACCCUGCUCCCAGUUGCUGAUUCCGGAGCCCUGCCAAAGUCAGGCCUGUGCAGAGGCCUUCCUCAGGAGGAGCUCGUGCCAAAAGCACCUGAAGGACAAGUGAUCAGUAUGCGUGACUGCUCAUCCUCUGGGCUGCUUUUACCCGUGCCUCUGUCCUCAGGGGGAGUUCUCUGGGAUCUCUAGGAUCAAUUGGAAUGAGGAUUAAAACUACAGACCUUGUUUUGAGAGGGUGUAAACUGAUACCCUGAUGUCACUGGUGUGUUGGCAGGUGGAGCUGGGCUUUCCCUCUCCUAUCCUCCCUUUCUUGAGUCUCCAGAGGAGCACCUGGCAGAGAUGUCAUCUCUGUGUCUUGGGAUACAUGGGACCUGAUAGAAUAUGUGGUAGGAGGCGAGGACUCAGAUCCCACGUUGUGAAUGUUUAGUGUACAGCCCUGUCAAACAGGGUGGAAAGAGUGUGCAAAAUGUGUGCCCUCCUAUGUAGCUUGAAUGAUCUCUGAUCCCUCUGGAUUUGAAUUUGCCCUCGCAGCCCUUCAGCUGACACAAUAAAGGGAUUACUGAGUGUCGCCAGUCAGGCCCCUUCACAGUCUAGAUUUGGGUUGGCCUUCUCAGCUUCCCUUCCCGCUUCUUACUCAUGUGCAGGCCUACUGUACUGCUUCAUAUCAAGUUUGGAUAAGAACAGCAGUGGGCUCUGUUGAAUGAAUCCUAAGGAGAUGCUCUGAUUUGCUCAGUCUGCCCCAGCAGUCAGACAUAGCAGCCUUCCUGAAUGCUGAAAGGCCUGUCGUAGACUCGACUCUAGUGAUUAUAGGUUGUACAGUCAGGGUACUGAGCUACGGGAUGUAGGAUGUAGUUAAAGCUGGGAACCAAGACGUGCGUGUCUCCUCCUGAGCCCAGAGUUUGAAGUAUUGUGUAUAGAAAAAUGUGCUGAGAGUAAAUCUUAUUCUACCUUCUGUCAAAAAAUAAUAAUAUGAAUUAGCGAGGGUGGAAUGAAACUUAACAGGGGUUGGAUAUGUUUAAGGCAUAGAUUAUGAUGAUGGUUCGUGGAGGUAUACUUAUCUCCAGACUCAUUAAGUUGUAUGUAUUAAGUAUGUGCAGCUUUCUGUAUGUCAGUCAUACCUUCAUAACCUCAAUAAAGUGGUUUAAAAAUAAUAACAAAAAAGACCCUCUCGUGGUUACAGAUGUAUACUCCCCCUCAAGUGUCUUGAGGUUUUAGAACUGAAAGGGAAGAAUGCUUCUACACUGGGAAAUGGGUAAUGCUAUUUACUACUCUGUAUUAUUGUUUUGCCUUGGUUUUUCUAUGUAUGCAUAGCAUUUGCAUUGGCACAUAUAAGGUUAACCUUUAGUCCAUAGGAUUUUCAAUUUUGUAGAAUCACAGCACUUCUGCGAAAGCUGUGAACUUCACCUGGAGGACUUCAGCUCAAGGAGUGGCCUGUGACAUCAGCUAUUUGUCAUUUGACCAGAAAUUGACUUUGGGUCCUGUGCCUUUGGGAAUGGCUUGGACUUUGGGUUGGUUUUGUUUCUUAUAAUAUGUGCUUUUGUGCUUACCUGAGAAAUCUUUUAAAAUAUUAUAUGGGGACACGUCAAGGUGUAUAUGUACUGUAUCUGUAUCCUAUAGGGUGGAAGGUAGUGUCUCAGGCUGGUUGGUCUCUGCAGCAGGCCUCUUUUCUCUGAGGUCUUCCCACCACCUUCUGUUUUCUGUGUGACUGAGUUCCUUGGCCUUAGCUACUCAGUUUGAUACUUUUCAUCUUGUCCUAGUUGAGCAAACCAUGCUUCUGUUAUAUUUAGAGUUUGGGACUAGAUGCCAAGAAUGGGUGCUAGGCUAGCCUGCAAAGGCUCAUUAAUAACCUUUCACUGCAGAAAAUAUCAUGUAAAAGACAUAUUGUGGGGUUUCCCUGGGUUAUCCUCAUUUCUGUGUCUUUAGAAUGUAUUUGCUGCUUAAGCUUCUUGUAUUUUGUAAAAUACUUGUGUUCUUCCAAUAAAAU
rnacentral:lncRNA from 1 species